AUUGAUACCCAGCAGAGUGG
rnacentral:miRNA from 1 species